UACGGAGGGUGCAAGCGUUAAUCGGAAUUACUGGGCGUAAAGCGUACGUAGGCGGAUAUGAAAGUCAGGAGUGAAAUCCCGGGGCUUAACCCCGGAACUGCUUCUGAAACUCCAUAUCUAGAAUCCCGGAGGGGUAAAUGGAAUUCCGAGUGUAGAGGUGAAAUUCGCAGAUAUUCGGAGGAACACCAGUGGCGAAGGCGAUUUACUGGACGGGAAUUGACGCUGAGGUACGGAAAGCGUGGGGAGCAAACAGGAUUAGAUACCCCCGUAGUC
rnacentral:rRNA from 1 species